AGGAAGAGCCACCUUACCUCUGUGAAGGGGGUAAAUGGGAGACCGAGCAGCCGGGGACCCUGGCACAGGCCCCCUCCUCCUCUCCCGAGUCUCACCUCCAGGAUGUCAGCGGUGGGGAUCUCCAUGGAUUCUGUUCCUCCAUAGUACAGAUACUGCAUCAUCAUCUGUGGUGGGAAGAGGCCUGCGUGAAUGCCACGUGGACCUGAGGCAUGAAAGUCCUUGCCAGCCCCACAGGGUACUGCUCCAGCUGCCACCUCCAGGGGCCUGUCCCUCUGCAGGUCCCCAGCUCUGUCUCUCCCUUCCUCUCCUGCUCAGGCUGAGACUUGUGUUUUCCCGGGAACGCCACCUCUAGAAGCCAACUCCAAGACCCUGUCUCCUGAGUCCCUGCCCGGAUGACAAGCUCCCUCCGUGGAAUGUUUCCCUACAAUCCUCAUAAGAACACCGUGAGUCCAGGAGGGAAGUUCCUAUUCGCAGUUGGGGAAACCGAGGCCUAGGGAAGGAAGAUGACUUGGCACAAGUCCCUCAGCUCCCCUGAUGCCUGCAGCAGGACUCGCGUCAUGCCUGGCCCCACGUGACUCACUGCUGGUGUGAUCUAAAUUCUACACACGGAGUAGCAAUGGGGGGGUCUCUGAAGGGAUGUUGGAGGACGCUGUCUCCUGCCUUCCCCUGUCUGUACAAGGAUCCAAUGUGGAGGUGAGAGUCCAUCCGGACUCUGUCUCAGGUGUGCUCCCUCAAAAAGAAAGCGCGGAGCCCAGGCCCAGAGGCCCAGAGCUCCCCUCGACAGGUUGAGCCCCGCCUUGGGCUCCCAGAUGAGGUGGUCCAGGACUGGGAACUAUUUAGUUCUGCUGAGGUUUCAGUUACAAACUCGGCCAUCACGCUGGAGCCUAGUGAGGUUCUCAGUUGGAAAAAGAAAAACAAUUCUUUCUGGCUGGCUGAAGAAACGGCCCCAGCAAGGAGCUGGCAAGUGUGUAAGUAAACACGGCUCCAGCCGGCACAGUCGGGCUCUGUCAAGACCGGCCGUGAGGCUACAGAGGCACCAGCGGGUCUAGGAGAAGGCCCAGCUGCAGGGAGAGAAGUCAGGAGACGGGCCUGCCAGCCUCGUUCAGGCAUCAGGAGAUGUUGGCCAAGGCCCACCCUGGAGAUGUCAGCCUCUCCCCACCGCUAGAGGUCUGGGAAGCUCCCACGGCCUCCUUCAGCCCCUGCUGGAGCCUGGAUGGCGAGCUCAUGAUUGCAUACUUAGAGCCUGAAAGACCUGACCUCGAUCUUCUGCAAUCAGGAUGUGCGCCUCAAAGCCACAUGCUUGACCAGUGUGACUGGGGUUCGAUGCUUGGGAGAAGCGAUAGCCUCCACAGCCUCCACCAGCACUGCUCAAACUCUACUGAGCACAUGGCCACCUGGGGAUCUUGUGAAGAUGCAGGAGGGCUGAGGCGGGGCCUGGGGCUCUGCAUUUCCAACAAGAUCUCGGUAAUGCCCAUUGGCUGGGAGCCCACCCUGAUAACAAGGACUCACUCCCCAGCUGUGUGGCCUCUAUCUGUCCUUGCACGUCUGUCUGCAGGCUGCCCAGACCACCUGUCUAGCGGUUAGAGCUCAGUACCCAUGCAACAGGCUCUGAAGCUGCAGCCCCACAACGGGAUGGCUACCUCUGCACAGGGAAAGACCUGGAUGCUCUAUUGAUUCAACAAAAUACAGAAGGCCCUGGGAAUAGAGUGGACAAUGUCAGCCUACGCACAGCUGCCCACAAAGGUGAGCUCCUGGGGGAGGGUCAUCCCUCUGAGAAGAGGGCGGCACCAAGACCCACACACCUGAAAAAUAUGGUACUUCAUGUCGCUGAUCUCAAUGGUCUUGCUGCUGUCCCCAUCCUGUUCUGAUUUAUUGGUCAUUAGUGUCUUGAACCUGGAGUAAAGGAGACAAAGCAAGGCAGAUUUUGAACCUUUUCCUCCACCACUGUGUGGCGAUGGCACCGUCUGUCACCUGACUGGCUACCAGGAGACGGAGCAUUUUAAAAAUGACUGCUGUACUCCUAAAAUAAUUUUCAGCAAGUACCAUUUUACACCGUCUUAGGAAGACAUCUGGGCUGAGCCCGAUUCUGUCCCCACCACCCACCAUACAAGCGACCUGACUCCUGUGGCCAGAAUGCUGACUCUUCAUUCCAGAAUAUGUUUGCUAAUAAUCAACAAAGCAGUAACUCGGCCAGAAAGAACACCACCUCAGAGCCCCUCUUUCCUGCUGCCCCGGGUCCACCCUGCCUUGUCCCGCUGUGGGGUGAGUGGGGCUCUGCUGCCACGUGACCGCAGUCUGAGGGGCACAGGCUGUAGGGUACAGCCCUAGCGAGUCACUCUUCGUCACCUCGAAUCUGAAACAAGGUGCUUCUGUGCCACUGGGCUGGGAGUUUGUUAUCUGAGGCUGCCUACCUGUUAGAAGCUGUCACCAGCAGGACUUUAUGUGCAUAAAACAGUUUUCCUUCCACUAGGAAGGUCACA